rnacentral:rRNA from 1 species
GACGAACGCUGGCGGCGUGCUUAACACAUGCAAGUCGAACGAAAAUACCAAGCUUGCUUGGUUGAUUAGUGGCGAACGGGUGAGUAACACGUGAGUAACCUGCCCCUUACUUUCCUGGAUAACUGCUCGAAAGGGUAGCUAAUACGGGAUAUUCUGACCAGCCUGCAUGGGUUGGUUUGGAAAGGUUGUUUUUCUGGUAAGGGAUGGGCUCGCGGCCUAUCAGCUUGUUGGUGGGGUGAUGGCCUACCAAGGCUUUGACGGGUAGCCGGCCUGAGAGGGUGAACGGUCACACUGGGACUGAGAUACGGCCCAGACUCCUACGGGAGGCAGCAGUGGGGAAUAUUGCACAAUGGGCGCAAGCCUGAUGCAGCGACGCCGCGUGAGGGAUGAAGGCCUUCGGGUUGUAAACCUCUUUCGUCAGGGAACAAGGCACUGCUUUUUUGGUGGUGUUGAGGGUACCUGGAUAAGAAGCGCCGGCUAACUACGUG